rnacentral:tRNA from 2 species
GCGGGUGUAGUUCAAUGGUAGAACGCUAGCUUCCCAAGCUCGAUACGUGAGUUCGAUUCUCAUCACCCGCUCCA